AGUGCAAAGACUUGUGCACAAAGGUGCUCUGGACAUGGAGUAAGUAAUAAGUAAGCCCAUGUUUCCUUGAAUCACAUCUCUCUUGGAAGCUUUUCAAUGUCACUCAUUAAUUUAUGUUUAUCAGGUUCUGACUAUGUGCCAGGACCUUGUGUAUCUAGAUUCAAUUUGGAGCUAAAUUGAGUAAACCCAGCAGCUAUAAUUAGUGUUAAAAACCACUUUGAUUUGAAUUGAAUUGCUGAUGACCUAAAAAAGUAUAUUAUUAUAGUUGUGUACUUUUCAAAAGAUGUUAAAUAUAUCAGUAAAUACAUAAACUUGUUCACAAAAGGAAGAUAAUUCCUGUGUCUUAUGAAUAUAAGUGGUCAUGGGAAAUUUGAUUUUAUCUCCUUUUAAAAAUAUGCUUGCUUUUGUAGAGCUUUAGUUUCAUAGCAAAAUUUAGUAGAAAGUGCAGAGAUUUUUGCAUAGACCCUCUUGACUCCAUUUGUAUACAACCUAUCACAAUUUCAACAUCACAAACCACUGUGUAACACUUGUACAAUUGAUUAUGUACACUGAUACAUAAUUAUCACCAAGAGUUCAUAGCUUACAUUAGAGUUGACUCUCAGUGUUAUAUUAUCUUUGAGUUUUUGAUUAAUAUAUAAUUACAUGUGUCCACUGGUAUGAUCAGAGUACUUUUACUCCCCUAAAAAGCUUCUGAGCUCCAUAUAUUCAAUCUUCUAUUUCCUCUAACCCCAGGCAACCACUGAUGUUUUUACCCUCUCUGUUAUUUUUUUUUUUUUUUGAGUAUCAAGUUAUUGGAAUCAUAAAUUAUGUAGGCUUUUCAGAUUGCUUCUUUCACUUAAUGAUAUGCAUUUGAUAUGCAUUCUCCACUUUUUUUUUUCUUUUCUGGAGGUCUUUUCUUUUUUUUAGUAACUUAAAAAAUGAAUUAAUUUUAAGAUUAGUUUCAGGUUCACAGCAAAAUUGGAUUAAGAUACAGGUAGUUCCCAUAUAGUUCAUACCUCAAACAUUCCUAGCUCUCUUCAUUUUCAGCAUGCCUCAUCAGAGUUGUACAAUUCUUAUAAUGGAUGAACCUACAUGGAUACACCAUCAUCACCCAAAGUCCAUAGUGUAUGUUAGGGUUCACUUUUUAUUUUGUAUGUCUUAUGGAUUUUGACAAGUGCAUAAUGACACUUGUCUCUCCCAUUAUAUCAUACAGAGUAUUUUUACUACCUUAGAAGUCCUCUGACUUUUCUCUUAAUCCUUCCCUCCCACUUAGCUCCUGGAACCCAGUGAAUUUUUUUCUCCAUAGCUUUUCCAUAAAAUCAUAUUCCUGGAGUCAUACAUUAUGUAGACUUUUUAGAUUGACUUAUUUAUUAAUAUGCAUUUAAGAGUCCUCUAUAUAUUUUCAUGCCUUGAUAGCUCAUUUCUUUUUAAUGUGAAAUAAUGUUAUUUAAUGUGAAAUAAUGUUACAUUGUCUUGAUAUACUGCAAUUAUUUAUUCAUUUACCUGCUGAAAAACAUUCUGGUUGCUUCUAAGUUUUAGCAAUUAUGAAUAAAGCUGUUAUAACCAUUCUUGUUCAGGUUUUUCGACGAAGAAUAUACAUUUUCAACUCCUUUGUGUAAAGGAUUGCAACCAGAGAAUCCUAUGGUGGGAAGAUGCCUAAUAUUGGAAGAGACUGUCAAAAUGUCUUCCAACACAACUGCAUAAUUUCAUGUUGCCCCACAACCUAGCCAGUAUUUGAUGUCAAUGUUUUAUAAUUGGUCAUUCUAGUGGUGUGCAGUGAUACCCUAUUACUAUUUGAAUUUACAUUUCACUGAUGGCAUGUGGUGUAGGUCAUCUUUUUAUAUAAUUAUUUACCAUCUGGAUAUCUUUUUUGUGAAGUAUCUGGUACAGUCUUUUGCCCAUUUUAAAAUCAGGCUGUUUAGUUUCUUUUUAUAAAGUGUUAAAUGUUUUUUGUUUAUUUUGAAUACUAGUCCUGUAUCUGAAUAUGUCCUUGUACACACAUGUUUUAUCCCCAUUAUUGGCUUAUCUUCUUGUUUCACUAACAGCAUUUUUCAAAGAGGAUAAAAAUUAAUUUUUAUUAAUAUUAAUUCUUAGAUAUGUAUUUCAUAUAUUCCCUAAGAUAUGGAACAAGACAAAGAUGAUUCUCCAUAUAGAGAAACUGAAUAUUUAACCAAAAAACUACCAGCAUUGAUAAAUGAAUUUUGUAAAGUUUCAGAAUACAGUAUUAAUAUAAAAAAAUCAGUAGCACUUUUAUAUACCAAAGAGAUUAUGAAAAUAUUCCAUUUACAAUGGCUACAAAAAAUAAAAUACCUGGGGAUAAAUUUAAUUAAGGAAGUGAAAGACCUCUACACUGAAAUUUAUAAAAUACCCAUGAAAGAAAUUGAAGAAGACACACACAAAUAAACACAAAUGAAAAGACCUUCCAUGGAACAAUUAAUAUUGUUAAAAUGUCCAUAUUAUUCAAAGAAAUUCAUACAAAAUACCAAUAACAAAUCAUAAAAUUCAUAUGGAAGCCCAAAAGAUCCCAAAUAGCAAAAGCAAUCUUGAGCAAAAGGAGCAAAGCUGCAGGGCAUUCUGAUGUCUGUAUUCCAGAUAUACUACAGUGCUUUAGUAAUCCAAAACAAAAGGGUACUGGGAUAAAAAUAUUCACAUAGACCAUUGCAACUAAAUAGAAUUCCAUGAGGAACCCCAUGCAGUUAUAGUCAACUGAUUCUUGACAAAGGUGUCAAGAAAUACACUGAAGAAAAGACAAGCUCUUCAAUCAAAGGUGGUGGGAGAACUGGAUAUACAUAAAGCAGAAGUUUGAAACUUGGCCCCUGUCUCUCAGCCCAUAUGAAAGUAAACUCAAAAUGGAUCAUAGACCUAAAUGUAAGACUGCUAUUUUUGUUUUGUUUUUGUUGUUGUUUUUGCCUCCAUUCUCUUCUCCAUAAUUGCUGUACUAAUUUACGUUCUUAUCAACAACAUACAAGAGUUCCUUUUUUCUACACUGUUGCCAAUAUGUGUAUAUGUGUGUGUAUGUGUGUGUGUGUGUGUGUGUGUGUGUCUGUGUCUUUUCAAUAAUAACCAUUCUGCUUGGGAUGAGAUAUUAUGGUUCCAAUUUGCAUUUCUAAGAUAACUAAUGAUAUUGAGCAUUUUCUUAUAUAUUAGUUAGUUAUUUGUAUUCAUUCUCUUGAGAAGUAUAUAUUAAGGUCAUGCAACCAUUUAAAAGUUGUUUUAUAUUUUGUAGUUGAGUUUUUUUAGUUUCCUAUUUAUUCUGAAUAUCAAUCCUUUGUCAGAUUAGUAGUUAUCAAAUAUUUUCUCCAUUUUUUUCACUCCAUGUAUUACUACCUUUGUUUUGAAAAUGCUACUUAGUUUUAAAUAAUUUUAUUGGAUGGUUUUUGGCUUUAGUUGCUUGUGCUUUUGGAUCUUGUGAAAAAAUCCUUACCUACAUGGAUGUUAUUAAAUGUUUACCCUAUGUUUUCUUCUAGUAGUUUCAUGAUUUUAGGUCUUACAUUUAGGUCUAUUUAUAACCUAUGCAAUUUUUGGGAUGGUGGGCUCACCAUGGCUGAGGCUCACAUUCCAGACCACCUGGGGCCACCACUCUGCCUCCCUGGGACAAGGAUUUAGCUUUAGAAUCAACAUAAAUGCCCAUGAUUAGAUGAAUAAAGAAAGUGUGGUAUAUACACACAAUGGAGUAUUAUUUAGCCAUACAAAGAAUGAAAUUCUGUACUUUGCAGCAAAAUGGAUGGAACUUUAGGACAUGCUGAGAGAAAUAAGGUAGGUACUAAAAGACAUAUAACCCAUGUUCUCUUUCCUGUAGAUCUUUCAAAAAGUUGAUCUGAAUGUAGAAUAUGGAUUAAUAGUGACUGAGCGGAGUAGGGGGAAGGGAGAAGGGAGCGGGGGAAGGGAGUGGGGUAGGGAGAAUCAGAUAAUGGGAACAAAAUCAAAAUUGCAUAGGUUAUAAAUUUUAGUGUUCCAAAGCACAGUAGGGUGAAUAUAAUCCACAAUCACCUAUUAUAUAUUUUAUGAAGAACUAGAAGAGAGGAAUUUGAUGUCUCCAAGCAUAAAGAAGUGAUAAGGAUAUGGAAAUUCUAAUUUUCUUUAUUCAAUCUGUAAAUACUAUAAGCAUUAUUGAAAUAUCACCUCUACUCUAUGAAUAUAUAUAAUUGUUACAUGUUAAUAGAACAAAAUUAUAAAAGGGCUUCCAUUGACAAAAUAUGAGGCAAUUUGGGCAUUGUUAUAAAUAAUGAUAUAAAUAGAUUUUUGCUCAUUGAAUAAAGUAAAAUAAAUGUGAUUUUGUUUUAAUAAAUAAGUAAAAAUUUAACAAGUAAAUGUAUUACAUGGUAUUUCCAAUAAUAUCAUUUACUAUUAUUGAUUAUUGUUAAUGACAAUAACUGCAUAAAUGAAUGGGGAGGAAGGAAAAAUUUUCCUUACAUUAUAAGCAAUAUAGAAAGAAUGAGGGGGUUAAAGAAUUAUCAGUGGAUUCUAAAACUAGUGGGUGGAAAUUUUAUAAGGAGUGAUAUAGUUCCAUAAUCUUAAAUUAUUUCCUUAUGUAUUAGUCAGCUUUUCAUUGCUGUGACUCAAGUACCUGACAACAACAACUUAGAGAAGGAAAAGUUGGGCUUCAUAACUUCAAAGAUUGAGUCCAAGAUCAGCCAACUCCAUUCUUCUGGACCUGACGUAAGGCAGAACAUCUUGAUGGAAGGGUGGUGGAGGAGAAAAGCUGCUCAACUUAUGACAGCCAGAAAGCAGAGAGGGAAAAAAGGGGCAGGGGGACGGGAAUGAAUGUGUGUGCAUGAGAGAGUCAGAGAAAGACAAAGUUCAUGCAUGAAGGUAUAACCCCAAGGGCAAAAUAACCUCAUAAUUUGAAUAAACUCUUGGGUGGAAAUUGAGGCAGCCAUGCCCCAUCAGCCUAUAGUUACCACACAAUAGUUUAUUCAAAUGAUAAAUCUAUCCAAUGGAUUAAUCUCCUGAUGACAUUUUAUUAUUAUUGCCCAAAAGCCCCACCUCUGAAUCUUCCAAAACAUGAGCUUUUGAAGGUUAACUAAGUGACACGAGUGAUGAUGCAAUACUGGAACAAACUGACAUUAGAGGAACAUCAGUUUUGUAAAGAGUUUCAGGGGAAAAGAUUCAUGUUCUUAGUUGUAAUAUUUAGAUUCAAUGUAAGACAGCCCAAAUUGAGAGAUGUUUUAUAUUAUUUUGAGAGGUAGCAUAGUAUAAUGCUCAAGACUUAGUUUAAAUGCUGGCUCUCUCCAUUAGUAGCAGUUUGACUUUUGGAAAGCUAAAUAUGUAUGUCUCAGUUUCUUCAUUUGUAAAGUGGGAAUGAUAAUAGUCCUUUUAUGCUUUUAGAUCUGAAAUGUGUCCCCAGAAAGCUCAUGUAUUAGGAAAUGUAGCAAAGUUCAGAGGUGACAGAUGGAAUCAUGAGGGCUCUGACUUCCUAAGUGCACUAAUUCUUUUGAUGGAUUAAUAAUUGGAUUGCACUUAGUGGAAGGUAGUGAAAAUGAUAAGCAGGUGGAGCAUAGCUGAAGGAAGUAGGUCACUGGGGACUUGGCCUUGGCACUGUAUCUGUACCUGACUCUUUUCUAUUUCUCUCUGCUAUCUUACAGGGCUGUUAUGAGUAUUUAAUGAGUAAAUCCAUAUAAAGUGCUCAGAAUAGAGACUCACAGCUAAUAAGCCCAAUAAAUGUGUUUGCUGUCAUCAUUCAUUAAUUAAUUACAUUAAUUAAAUACAUUUAAUUACAUUUCUCAGUUACAGAAAAAAAUCACUUACUAAACUUGUACUAUAUCUAAGCAUCUAGAUGCUCAGAUUACAAAAUGCUUUUAAUUAAAAAUCAAACAAAUGCAGAUAAAACCAAAUCCUGUCCUGGUUAAGGGUAGUUUUAGGCCAGUAAAU
rnacentral:lncRNA from 1 species